AGAAAAAUUAUUAUUUAUUUUCUUACGUCAUAUCACAUUGCGUAUAUCAUAAUUAUUCAGUUGUGUUAUAUUUUCAACAGUCCCACCAAAUACAAAGAAACAUACUUUUAUUUUGUUUUUAUCUUUAGUCUACUUUGUCUGAUAAUAGUAGAUAGAUUUCAAUAUUAAAUAAAGUCUUAAAAAUAGUCUCAUAAUUAUAGUGUUUGGAUGGUUGAACUGACCGUUGCACAUGAACAUAG
rnacentral:lncRNA from 1 species